UUCCCACCUAAUCCAAGAUUGGAGAAAGAAGAUCUAAGAGAAACCUAUAGAGAAUGUAGUUAGAAAUCCAAAAUAGAGUCUGACCACAACGACCGAAUUAAUUAUCCGCACCGAGAGACUUAG
rnacentral:rRNA from 1 species